UUCACUGGCCUGGCAACUCAUAAAAGUGCUAUUUUUCUUCACCUCAGUUAAACUGCUAACAUGUCCCAGCACGCACAAGAUGCGGAGGCUCAAUAAACCCAAAAGGCUCAUUGUUAAACAAGGUGCAUGCCUCUUAAUUGCACCUACCACUGCCCACCUCUCUGGGGAGAAUGUACAGCCCUUGUGUUACAGGAUCAUAAAAAAAUCGACAGCUGGAGGGGAUGCAGCAGUAAGAGAGAUGAACGCUGUCUUCCUGGGACAAUUAUGAAUUUUUGUGCCUCUUGAAGGAGCCAUAUGGAGCCUACCCACGUGUCUUCACCUCUCUUUGAAAUGCCUGAUAAUGCUCUGCUGAGUCGGGGGAGGAGGGGAAGAUGGGUGAGUAGUUCCUGGAACUGAGCUGAUGCUGGUGGUUGUCAUUAUGCUGGGACCAGGAGGAACCGAACUGAGCGUCAACAUGUUUGUGAGUGACAUGCUUGUGACUGCUUCCUGUUGUGGAACAAAAG